rnacentral:rRNA from 1 species
UACGUAGGGUGCGAGCGUUGUCCGGAAUCAUUGGGCGUAAAGGGCGCGUAGGUGGCCCGGUCAGUUCGUGGUGAAAGCGCGGGGCUCAACCCUGCGUCGGCCAUGAAUACUGCCGCGGCUGGAGCACUGUAGAGGCAGGCGGAAUUCCGCGUGUAGCAGUGAAAUGCGUAGAGAUGCGGAGGAACACCGAUGGCGAAGGCAGCCCCCUGGGCCAAUACUGACGCUCAGGCACGAAAGCGUGGGGAGCAAACAGG